CAGCAGCCGCGGUAAUACGAAGGGGGCUAGCGUUGCUCGGAAUGACUGGGCGUAAAGGGCGCGUAGGCGGUUUGUUUCGUUAGGCGUGAAAUUCCUGGGCUCAACCUGGGGACUGCGCUUAAGACAAGCAGACUGGAGUGUGAAAGAGGGUCGUGGAAUUCCCAGUGUAGAGGUGAAAUUCGUAGAUAUUGGGAAGAACACCUAUGGCGAAGGCAGCUCUCUGGGACGGUACUGACGCUGAGGCACGAAAGCGUGGGGAGCAAACAGGAUUAGAUACCCUGGUAGUCCACGCCGUAAACGAUGGGCAUCUAGGUGUGGGAUGGUGUCGACUCCUCCCGUGCCGGAGCUAACGCAUUAAGUACCCCGCCUGGGGAGUACGGCCGCAAGGCUAAAACUCAAAGGAAUUGACGG
rnacentral:rRNA from 1 species